rnacentral:rRNA from 1 species
AUUGAACGCUGGCGGCAGGCCUAACACAUGCAAGUCGAACGAGGGGCGGACGGGUGAGUAGUGUCUGGGAAACUGCCUUGUGGGGGGGUAUAACUACUGGAAACGGUAGCUAAUACCGCAUACCAUCAGAUGUGCCCAGGUGGGUUUAUCUUGUUUGUGGGUUAACGGCUCACCAAGGCGACGAUCCCUAGCUGGUCUGAGAGGAUGACCAGCCACACUGGAACUGAGACACGGUCCAGACUCCUACGGGAGGCAGCAGUGGGGAAUAUUGCACAAUGGGCGCAAGCCUGAUGCAGCCAUGCCGCGUGUAUGAAGAAGGCCUUCGGGUUGUAAAGUACUUUCAGCGGGGAGGCGUUACCCGCAGAAGAAGCACCGGCUAACUCCGUGCCAGCAGCCGCGGUAAUAC